rnacentral:tRNA from 1 species
AUUUUUAUAGUUGAUUUACAACGGUGGUUUUUCGGACUGCAGGUCUCGGUUAUCGAGUAAAAAUA